GCUGGUCUUUCACUGCACUAGCUAGAGAGAAGAAGAAAUUAUGCUGUCAAUUUUGAAGCUCUGAGCAAGUGGUCAAACUAUUUGUCUGUAUUGGUGGAGGCUGAAGACAUGAGUCCAUGGACAGGGACUACUGAGGAACCUUCAUCAAGAACAUUAACAAGAGAUACUACACGUAGGAACAGAGCCGACCGACGUGGAGACGGUUACUAUCGCUACUGAAGAGGUGGUACCCAGUUCACAGUUUGAGAUAGAGAUAAGUCAGAGUGAUGAUGGGGAGAGUGUGGAGCAGCUACAGGCCAGUGACUUGGGCCCUAACUUUGGCCUUGUGCAUGAUACCCAGGUAAUACACACACACACACUUCACACCAAGUAACAUAUAAAAACUAGCACUUAAAAACGCUUUUUUAAAGGUAUCCGGCUUCUAAGACGUUUCGUUUUCGUAUUAUUUUCCCUUUCUUAUUACAUGGUUAGAAUUUGCAUGAUGGUAACUACCUCCCAAAUAACGAACACACACACACACACACACACACACACACUUGUUGUUCCUGCCCACUCACACAGGAGGUCCACACGCUAACUAGCGAUGAUGGUUUGCCCUCUGACAUGACCUCUGAGGAUGGCUCCACCCUCAACGCUAUAUGCCACGCCCUCAUCCAAAUGCAGCAUGGUGGACAGACCACCCCCUUUCAGAGUCUGGCCAAAAAUUAAUGGUGAAUAAAGAAGGCCAAAUUUAUCAGUGUGACGAUUGCUUUUUUGCCAAAUCCAGAAGUUAUAGUCCUCGAUAAGUUAUCCAAGUGCUUGUACAUACUAAUUACAUGUAGAACCAUGAGUAUUAUUGCUAAUGUUUGAGGUUUCUUGGAAGUGGUGUUGAGUUUUUACUAUGUUGUUGUGUGUGUUCAGGUCCUCUGUAUGUGAUGAUCCCACCAUCCAGUAGUGCUGAGAUACUGCAUGCAAUGGGUUGACCUAUAGCACCCAAGAUGAGCGGGAUAUCAACUAUGGAUUAUCACACGGCCGACCCCAUCGUUCAAAUGCAGUUGUGAGUACACAGUUCAUGUGAUUGCCUACCUCUGCAUAACAUGUAUGACAGUAUGUGUUAGGGAAAGCAUCAUUCUUGCUACAUAUCGUAUUACUAGAAUAUUUUGCUGUUGGUGAAAAACCUUUACCAAUCAGCAACAAAGUUGAUCCUUUGCGAUUGUGCUAACUAUUGCGUUCUGGCAAUAAUCGUGUGUAUUUAUAGUCAUACUUUAGGUUUUGCGAUUUUAUUGUUGCGAAUUGAUCAACCCUCGCAAAAUGUGCAUAUGCUUGCAAAACAUUCUAGUAAUACGGUAACUGUGAGGAGUGUUGUUAUUAUGGUGGUUGGUUUGCAGGUCUGGGGAUAUGGCCGCCAACAGGGAAGCUCAGAGGAAGGCUACACACAAUGAAGGUGCUGCAAAUUCAAUACUGAAAGUUAUAAUGUACAACAGAUGUACAUGUACUUAUGUGGUCAUAAUCAAAUAGAAGCAUUUCCCACAAAAUACAGUUAACGAAGCUUUAAUAUCAAAUCUGCCACUUCUAAAACUAAUAACAUAUUUGUGUGGAGGCUAUCCAUCCAUGCUGUAAACGUCUUAGUGUGUGUGUCUGUUCAUGUGUGUACUAAAGUACUAUUGAAAGCCAUCGAAAUAUCUACUAACUUGGUUUUUUUUAAGCCUAAAUUUCCUAAUAUUAUUGCUAAGCAUGCAUUAUUGUAGAGCACAGUGUUAUGUUAGUUACUACUAGUAGCAUAGAAUCCAGCAGAGGCCAUCGUAUAUAACACAUGUAGUUAGUUGUACAUAAAAUUAAUAAUUUAUGCUAUUUUUUAAUAGCUAAGCAUGUUUUUUUGUUAUCUCCACGUUCAUGUCUCACCCUCACGUCAUGUUUCCUUGACUGCAGUAUGUGUACAGCAAGGGAACGGUACUGGACAAGACAGUCUGGCACCUUCGCAAGCACAACCUAUGCACUUGUCAGCUUCGUCACAAUUCUCUCCCCUCUUACAAUCAUCGCUGCCGACUGGAGCCUCUAAUCCAAACACACCACUCUUAAGCUCACUCGUACAAACUCUAUCCUCCAUUGCGAGCACGACCACUUCUCCGUCCACUCCUGUACCGAAAUCCUCCAUGCUGUCACAAGCCAACAACAAUGGCGGGGGUGGUGGUGGUGGUGGUCUCUCUGCCGCGGCUGCUGCUAGUCUGCUCAACACUCUGAUUCUGGCUCAGAAUGUGCUCACAAGCAACUCAAGUGCUGGUAGCCCCGGGCAAGAUUCAAUGUCUAUGGAAACGGUGGACCAAUCCUCUCAACAGUAGUGUACAGUAUAUUAUAAUUGUGGACUGUUUAUACUGUUCUAGUUUUAACGUGUGUUUUUUAGUAAUCUCUCCUUCACUUACUAUAGCUACAUUGUCAGUAUUAUUAUGUAUACAUAGUUUUUAUACAUGAUAUUUGUGUGGAGCUCUUUGAGAAAAAUAUUGUAGCAAAGCCCAUUUAUAUGUAACCACGCCCAUUAUAAUUAUGUGCAGCCUAGCCUCCAUCUCAAGCACUUCCUAGAAAGUUGGCCUGGUAAUCGACUGCUUGUGCAUGAGCUAACCAUUAGCUGGCAUUGAGAAGAACCUUCAUCAAGAACAAGGUACGUGUGUAUAAUGUGUAGUUAUGCAGUGCAAUGAGUUGACUGUGUACUAUUGAAUGUACAGUACAAAGAAUGGGAACCUAGCAUGCUUACUAGUCUGUAUGUACAUGCACUUGUAUACAAGGUAUGCUUCAAUGUAUGCAGUUUAGGUGUGUACAGGGAAACGUGUGUCAAUUGAGAACACUAGCUCACAAUAUUUGUACAUGACAUUGUACAGUACGUGUACCAGACCCUUCAUCACACUACCAGUUUGAAUGUGUCCAUGUGUUGUUUAUCCUGGCUACAGGACACUGCCGAGGGUAGCACUUCAGUGCUCUAGUUCUAAUUGUAGAUUGACUGAUCGAUUUGUCUUCUGUACUAUUGUUUGAUUUUUCCGGCCCCCAGUUAUGCGGCCAUUUUUCAGCCCGGCCAAGUGUUGAGGAGACAAGAAGAGGCACUGAGAAUGGAGGUAGAGGCGUACUAUGCUGCUAAGAAGGCCACUCAGUGUGACUAUGACCGUGUGACUCUUUAACCCCUCAGUUCCAUUAGGAUAACUGGGGGCCGGAAAAGAUAAGCCUACUAUGCUGCUAAGAAAGAGAGGGGCCUCACGUAAACUGGCCACUCAGUGUGACUAUGAUCAUGUGACUCUUUAACCCCUCAGUUCCCGAGCCCCACCCCUCACUGUCUGACUCGGAAGAGGAGAUAGACUUUGUAUUCUGGGAGAAGGCGUCCACCCUACCCUCGGACAAGACCCCAACCAAGGACUUGAACUUGUUAUGAGACUGUUAAAUAUUAUUUUGUCUGUUUUUGUACUAUUUUCUGGCAAUGUAAUUAUGUAUGUACCACUUCAUGUCAUCAUAAUAACUAUAAUUA